rnacentral:tRNA from 1 species
GCCUCCGUGGCGCAAUGGAUAGCGCACCGGUUUUCUACGCCGAGGGGUUGCUGGUUCGAAUCCAGCCGGGGGCGC